AAUAAAAUAAAAUAAAACCAGUUGCAGCCGGUUUUUAACCUCAGGACAUGGAAUUAUUGCUUCUAAAAAAAAUAAUAAAGAAAUAAGUUGGUCGGUGGCAUCAGAGGCAGCGCCCGGUUUUGACGCCCACCCCUGGCACCAGCAGGGAAGGGGGGGGCACUGGCUCGGCCUGCCCACCCCCCCAGCCCCCCAAGUGGAAAGGAGAUGCUGGCACCCUGCCAAAUUUGGCCUCCCAUUCGUAUGUGCUGAGGUGCCAGGUGCCAUGGUAGUAAUAAUCGGCGCCGACAAAAAUCUCCAGGGAUCACUUGCGAAAGGCAGCGUUGGGCGUGGAACAGCUGACACCCGUCAAGAGUUUCUUUAAUAUUACGAAACCGCCACAUCUGCCUCUCGAGAGGAAGAGAACCUUCUUCCCUGCAAGAAGAAAGCUAGCCAAACAGUUUUAAUAAUCGGCCGCACAGUAAUAGUUCUUUUUAAAUUCUUUUAAUUGUAUAUAUUCUGUGUUUUAUUUUGGCUGUACACCGCCCUGAGUCCUUCGGGAGAAGGGCGGUAUAGAAAUUUAAUAAAAUAAAUAAAAUAAAUAAAUAAACAACGGUGGAGCCGAACUUCCCCGACGGGGAGACCAACAAGUCAAGCCGAAAAUAGAGGAGAUGCUUAAAGCUUCCUAUAUCCUUCUUUUCAAGAAAUCGCAAACCCACGGAAGCGUCCACAUUUUAGCAGGCCAAGGAGACAAAAUUGGCUAAUUUGGGAGCGGAAAUUCAUCCAUUUCAAGGUUCCUUUAAAAAAAAAAAAAAAGAGCACCAGAAAAAAGAGGCAUCUAAUAGACAACAGGUUAAAAAAAAUAAAAUAAAGCUAUUUUGA